rnacentral:rRNA from 1 species
UACGUAGGGGGCAAGCGUUAUCCGGAUUCACUGGGCGUAAAGGGAGCGCAGGCGGCAUGGUAAGUCUGAUGUGAAAACCCGGGGCCCAACCCCGGGAGUGCAUUGGAAACUGCCAGGCUGGAGUGUCGGAGGGGUAAGCGGAAUUCCUAGUGUAGCGGUGAAAUGCGUAGAUAUUAGGAGGAACACCAGUGGCGAAGGCGGCUUACUGGACAACUACUGACGCUGAGGCUCGAAAGCGUGGGGAGCAAACAGG